AACGAACGCUGGCGGCAUGCCUAACACAUGCAAGUCGAACGAAGGCUUCGGCCUUAGUGGCGCACGGGUGCGUAACGCGUGGGAAUCUGCCCCUCGGUUCGGAAUAACAGUUAGAAAUGACUGCUAAUACCGGAUGAUGACUUCGGUCCAAAGAUUUAUCGCCGAGGGAUGAGCCCGCGUAAGAUUAGGUAGUUGGUGGGGUAAAGGCCUACCAAGCCGACGAUCUUUAGCUGGUCUGAGAGGAUGAUCAGCCACACUGGGACUGAGACACGGCCCAGACUCCUACGGGAGGCAGCAGUGGGGAAUAUUGGACAAUGGGCGAAAGCCUGAUCCAGCAAUGCCGCGUGAGUGAUGAAGGCCUUAGGGUUGUAAAGCUCUUUUACCAGGGAUGAUAAUGACAGUACCUGGAGAAUAAGCUCCGGCUAACUCCGUGCCAGCCGCCGCAGUAA
rnacentral:rRNA from 1 species